UUCCAUUGUUUCUAAGAAACUUUAUUUUUACAUUUUAACAUUCUAAAAUCAGGAUACAUCUUAAAAUCCAUAUGUCAAUGGGCAGCAUUUUCCAAAAAAUGAUUAGUAUGUGAGGCAAUACAUGUUAAUUAGCUUGAUUUAGCCAUUCCACAAUGUAUACAUAUUUGAAAACAUUAUGUUGUAUUAAAACCAUACAUAAAUAAUAGUGUAUAUUAUUUUUAUUGCCAUAAAAAUCACAAUUACUUUUGUACAAACCUAAUAUGUGAUAAAUAUAUACAACUAUUUGUCAAUUAACAUGAAAUAGGCAGCAUUUUUUUCUUUCUUGGUUGUGCAUAAAAUAGUCAUACAUAUAAUAGUUGAUGCUAUCUUAGAUUUCAGACACCAUAUGUAGGCCUUCUCUAUACCCUGUUUGAAGCUAUAGACCCUUGUUUGUCCAAAGCAGUAUUUGUUCAUAUGUAUUUAAGCCAGUACACUGGAGAGUUUUUGUUAAACCCUUGGGACCUGAUUUUGCCAACUUUUCAUUAUGUCCUUGUAAGGUUUCCUUACCUUGUUUUGAGAUUACAGAGACACUGAAGUUAUAUCUGGUAUCUGUAAGCAAUAAACUUGAUAUUUUAUUUAAAUAAAUGUAUCUCUUAAUUUAUUAGGAAGAAGAUGCUCGGAAAAGAAUCCUGUGUCCUUUAGAUCCAAAACAGUAAGUGUGGAUCAGAUACGGGUUUUUUUUUGUGCUGGAAACAGUAAUUGGCACAAGUCUCAUUUGAAAUAAUUUUCUCUUUAAAUUUAGCACAGUAUAUGAAGAUCAACUAGCAAAGCAUUUGAAAAAAUGUAACUCAAGAGAGAAACCAAAACCUGAUUUCUAUAUUCAAGAUAUUAAUGCAGGCUUAAGAGAUGAAACAGAAAUACCUGAACAAUUAGUAAGUACAUUGACUUAAUAUUUAAUUUUAAAAGAUAUUUAUAAGCUCUCUUCAUGAUGUGAAUAAGGCAUGUUCUAAUUUUUGUCUCAAGUCUGUUUUUAAUUUAGAAUGCAUUUUCCUGUAGACUUAAUAUUGUUAGUGAUGGUUAGUUCCUAGACCCAGACCAGCUCAUGCCCCAUAACAAAAGAAGCUACAAUAUGGCCCUGAAUCCCCUUUGAUUCUUGAACCCUUCUGAGCCUAGACUUGU
rnacentral:lncRNA from 1 species